ACGAGUGUGUUUAGUUUUCUGUAGUGGUGCUACAAGUUAAAGUCAUGGUUAUGGUGGGUUAACGACCUCCGGAUGUUGGAUGUGGAGUUGGCAUUAGGGAGAUGAAUGGUUUUUCUGGAAAAAGCGGCAUGGUAUGUGUUGUAUGGGAUUUUCGACAUGGAUGGACCUGACCCGAAAUUUUAAGGAAGCAGAAGGAAAUUGUGAUAGGCUUGUACUUUUGAAGGCUUGGUUCUUUCGAAGUGGAUGGUUGUCUGCACUAUUGAAUGGGGGAGAUGAUGGCAUAUUGGAAAAAAUUGGCAUGGUAUGUGUGAUAUGGGAUUUUCGACAUGGAACUUACCCGAAAUUUGAAGGAAGCAGAGGGGAACUAGUGGUACAGGGAUUGUACUUUUGAAGCGGGUGGUUGCCAGCACUCCGGAACAGGAGGGAUUGAGCAACCCGUCGUACAUAUGAAAUCCGAGGGAAACUACAUUGGACUUGAAUGUUCCAAUGUAAUCCCCUCACAAAUUUGCUAAUUCUUAACCCUUUUAGAGUUAGGUUUAGGUGUCUUCAUUCGGUUACUGUACAUGCUGUAGAAUGUCUAGUGAUCUAUCCAUACAGAACUUUGUAGGUUUCUAUAGGUUUCAUUUUUCUUCUGCGUCAUGUCUUUUGUUUCCUUAGGGUUUAGAGUUAGUGUCCUUCUAAAUAUUCUAACAUUGGCUAGUCUCUUUGUUCCUUAGUUCAGCGUUGCCCCAAUAGCUGCUUAGGUAAUCUUCUUUCAUUGAACACUCUUGCCUUUCCUGUUAUAGUCUCGUUUGCCUUCUUAGUCAACGAAACGUUCUUUGCUUCUGACAACAAUCUAACCCCUUUAACUACACUCUUAUCAAAGGGUGUUCUCACCUUUCACUCUCUUUUCUGUUUUUUGAGAAAGAAAAGAGGGAAGGGGCAUUGAUUGUUCUUUCGUACUUCUGCUUCAUUGGUUUUUUGUCUUUAGGGUUGGUCAAUCUGUAGUUCUGUCCUGUAUGAUGUCCUGAGUUUGGAAGUACCUAUUAGUUCAUUGUUCUUGGAAAUGAAUGGUGCCGGUUGUGGUGUUCACAUCGUUUUCAUCCUUGGAGAUUGUUGAUCUCGCCUCACCAUCGACAAGGGUGCAAGUUGGUACAGUAUUCCGGAGGUGUGUUCGUUAGCAGUUCGUGAUGUAGUCCUUUACGCGUGUAAUAGUUCCUUGCUGAAGGCAAAUGCGGUUCCAGUACAUCAUCACUUGUGUUGAAGAAUGCAUGAUGUAUGGAAAAGCUGUUUGUCUUCCAUCGAUCCGGUGGAGCAUUGUAGCGUCGGACAUAUUUGUGGUGAACUUUUAUGUCUUCUAUUUAUGUUUCAAUGUUGAGUCUGUUCUUCUGUCGUCUAAUUUAAACUUCGAUGCUAGCUUGUUUAUCGUCAUCUUUCAUAUUCGUACGUUAAUUUUAUGGAUGUUAACAUUAUUUAUCUGUUCGAUUUAUAUGGUCUGUUCCAUUGA